UACAGGGGGUGCAAACGUUGCUCGGAAUUAUUGGGCGUAAAGCGCGCGUAGGCGGCUACUUAAGUCAGACGUGAAAUCCCUCGGCUUAACCGGGGAACUGCGUCUGAUACUGGAUGGCUCGAGUUUGGGAGAGGGAUGCGGAAUUCCAGGUGUAGCGGUGAAAUGCGUAGAUAUCUGGAGGAACACCGGUGGCGAAGGCGGCAUCCUGGACCAACACUGACGCUGAGGAGCGAAAGCCAGGGGAGCAAACGGG
rnacentral:rRNA from 1 species